AUGAACUCUCUGGUGCACAUUAAGACUGCUUUUUCGGGUAAAGUACUUGUCACAUUCACAUCUGUAAGGUUCUUUCUCCUGUAUGAAUUCUCUGAUGUUUUCUAAGAUCACCUUUAAGAGAAAAGCAUUUGUCACAUUCACUACAUUUGUAAGGUUUCUCUCCUGUAUGAACUCUCUGGUGCACAUUAAGACUGCUUUUUCGGGUAAAGUACUUGUCACAUUCACUACAUUUGUAAGGUUUCUCUCCUGUAUGAAUUCUCUGAUGAAUAAUAAGUCUGUAUUUUUCAGUAAAGCAUUUGUCACAUUCACUACAUUUGUAAGGUUUAUUAGCUGAAUGUAUUCUCUGAUGAGUUCUAAGAUGAUAUUUGUUGGUAAAGCAUUUGUUACAUUCACUGCAUUUGUAAGGUUUUUCUCCUAUGUGAAUGCGCUGAUGAACAAUAAGAUGGCUUUUUCGAGUGUAGUAUUUGUCACAUUCACUACAUUUGUAGGGUUUUUCUCCAGCAUGAAUUUUCUGAUGAACAAUAAGAUGGCUUUUUCGAGUGUAGUAUUUGUCACAUUCACUACAUUUGUAAGGUUUCUCUCCUGUAUGAAUUCGUUGAUGAUCUCUAAGAUUGCCUUUCAGGGUAAAAGAUUUGUCACAUUCACUGCAUUUGUAAGGUUUCUCUCCUGUAUGAAUUGUCUGAUGACUUGUAAGACGCCAUUUCUUUGUAAAGCAUUUGUCACACUCACUACAUUUGUAAAGAUUUUCUCCUGUAUGAAUUCUCAGAUGAACUUUAAGACUGCCUUUGUGGGAAAAGCAUUUGUCACAUUCACUACAUUUGUAAGUUUUCUCUCCUGUAUGAAUUAUUUGAUGAAUGAUAAGACUGCAUUUUAGAGUAAAGCCUUUGUCACAUUCACUACAUCUGUAAGGUUUCUCUCCUGCAUGAAUUCUCUGAUGAAUACUAAGACUGCCUUUUUGGGUAAAGCUUUUGUCACAUUCACUACAUUUGUAAGGUUUCUCUCCUGUAUGAAUUCUCUGAUGUUUUCUAAGGUCACCAACUUGAAUGAAGCAUUUCUCACAUUCACUACAUUUGUAAGGUUUCUCUCCUUUAUGAAUUCUCUGAUGUUUUCUAAGAUCACCAACUUGAAUGAAGCAUUUCUCACAUUCACUACAUUUGUAAGGUUUCUUUACACUUUUGGUUUGUUUCAAUAUGAGGGUUUCUUUAGAGUCAAAAACCUUAUCAAGCUUUGCACCAUUGUAUUCUUUCUUUCCUAUGUUGAUUCCUUGAUUUAGACUAAUGGUAGAGCACAAAUUGAAACAGUUUACAUGGUUUUUAUCUUUGCAAGGUUCUCUGUUGUUUUCAGUUUCAUGUCUGCUUAGGUUUGAUGAUUCAACAGAUGUAGCCCUGAGGUUAGUUUUAGAAGGUGCACUUCCUGUGGACUCAUGGAUGAUUUUGUCAAGCUCAUGACAUUCAUAAGAUUUCACUUGGGUAUUUGCAUGUUCGUGGACAAUAUGCUGUAGAUCUUGAUUCAACAUGUUCUCAAAUUCAGGACACAUGUAUUGAUUCUCU
rnacentral:lncRNA from 1 species